AACGAACGCUGGCGGCGUGCCUAACACAUGCAAGUCGAACGGGAAAACCCGCAAGGGUGAGUACAGUGGCGCACGGGUGCGUAACACGUGGGUAAUCUGCCCAGAAGCCCGGAAUAACUCCCCGAAAGGGGUGCUAAUGCCGGAUGAGACCACGGGGACUUCGGUUCCUGGGGGAAAAGGUGGCCUCUGUAUACAAGCUAGCACUUCUGGAUGAGCCCGCGGCCCAUCAGCUAGUUGGCGGGGUAAUGGCCCACCAAGGCUACGACGGGUAGCUGGUCUGAGAGGACGAUCAGCCACACUGGAGAUGAUACACGGUCCAGACUCCUACGGGGGGCAGCAGUGGGGAAUCUUGCGCAAUGGGCGAAAGCCUGACGCAGCAACGCCGCGUGUGUGAUGAAGGUCUUCGGAUCGUAAAGCACUGUCGGGAGGGACGAAUAAGGGCCGGGUGAACAAUCCGGUUCGACGACGGUACCUCCAGAGGAAGCACCGGCUAACUCUGUGCCAGCCGCCGCAGUAACAC
rnacentral:rRNA from 1 species